rnacentral:rRNA from 1 species
CCUACGGGGAGCAGCAGUCGAGAAUCAUUCACAAUGGGGGAAACCCUGAUGGUGCGACGCCGCGUGGGGGAAUGAAGGUCUUCGGAUUGUAAACCCCUGUCAUGUGGGAGCAAAUUAAAAAGAUAGUACCACAAGAGGAAGAGACGGCUAACGCUGUGCCAGCAGCCGCGGUAAUACAGAGGUCUCAAGCGUUGUUCGGAAUCACUGGGCGUAAGGCGUGCGUAGGCUGUUUCGUAAGUCGUGUGUGAAAGGCGCGGGCUCAACCCGCGGACGGCAUAUGAUACUGCGAGACUAGAGUAAUGGAGGGGGAACCGGAAUUCUCGGUGUAGCAGUGAAAUGCGUAGAUAUCGAGAGGAACACUCGUGGCGAAGGCGGGUUCCUGGACAUUAACUGACGCUGAGGCACGAAGGCCAGGGGAGCGAAAGGGAUUAGAUACCCGAGUAGUC